AAAUAGUAGGGUCAAGGCCCAUAGUGUCUGUUGCUUUGCUUUUAUGACUUUGUUUGUCCUCUUUCUUUGUCCAUCCUUUAUUUAUUAUCUAUCUAUCCCCCACUCCCACUUGUUCAGUCAUUCAUUCUCAAUAGGGAUCCCUCUCCUCUUGUACAUUGUUUUCUUAAUCUCUUCUCCAUCCCCAAGAUCAUAUGGAGGAAGUUCUCUCAGUUGAGGGGAAUGUUGUCUGGCUCGAGGUCACCAAUUAGAUCCAUAAUCCCUAUAUAUACCAUGCUUUUCAAAAAAGAGAUUUAUAAUAUGAAAAGGGGUUAUGAAUCAUGUGUUAGUGUUGUCGGACCAGGCUUCAUUCCCCCCAAUUGUUACUCCUCUAGCUAGGGGAAAAGGGUUCAUUUGAUAAAUUUUAUUGGUAAAAAUAUUUACAUCCAUCACUAUGUAACUUUAGUGACAAAAGCUAAUAUUUGGUGUAGUUUUAGUUUUUGUAUUUUGUAGGUUGUGGGAUACGGUCAUUAUUAGGUAAAAAAUGUUGUUGGUGGACAAGAGCAGAUUGGUGUAAUGAUGAAGAUAUUUGACUCAUUUCCUGCCAAGGCAGGCAUAUGGAAAAUAAUGUUGAAAUGAGAGAUAAUAUCCUAACUUGUAUUGUGUACAAGAUCUUGUGACAUCAUCAUCCACAGAUAUCUCUUCACAUGAAUAAGAGGUCAUUCCUCAUUUUGGGUUAAAACUAUAGAAAAAGUGUGAAAGAAUAUGAUUCAUUCUAAGCUUUUGUAAAGUUCUUUUCAAAGAAGAUCUAUUCUUUACCAGUGUUAUAAUUUAAGUUUGCAUAUAUUGUUUAAGUUAUAGAUGAUAUGACAAGUUACUAUAACAUGUAAAAAGUGACAUGAUUUAUAGUGUAAUUUUUUUUACUCGUCUUAAAAUGGUGAAGGUUAUCAAUUAGCCUGAAUAUAUUUUGAUGUGAAAUGAAGAUGGUAUAAAUUACAUAAUGGAUGCAACAUUGCAUAUGCACUUUGGAAAUUGAA